rnacentral:tRNA from 1 species
GGGAAUGUAGCUCACUGGCAGAGUGUUUGCCUUGUAUACAUAGGGUCCUGGGUUCAAUCCUCAGCACCA